rnacentral:rRNA from 1 species
CCUACGGGAGGCAGCAGUGAGGAAUAUUGCACAAUGGGCGGAAGCCUGAUGCAGCGACGCCGCGUGAGGGAUGAAGGCCUUCGGGUUGUAAACCUCUUUCAGCAGGGACGAAGCGUGAGUGACGGUACCUGCAGAAGAAGCACCGGCUAACUACGUGCCAGCAGCCGCGGUAAUACGUAGGGUGCGAGCGUUGUCCGGAAUUACUGGGCGUAAAGAGUUCGUAGGCGGUUUGUCGCGUCGUUUGUGAAAACCCGGGGCUCAACUUCGGGCUUGCAGGCGAUACGGGCAGACUUGAGUGUUUCAGGGGAGACUGGAAUUCCUGGUGUAGCGGUGAAAUGCGCAGAUAUCAGGAGGAACACCGGUGGCGAAGGCGGGUCUCUGGGUAGUAACUGACGCUGAGGAACGAAAGCGUGGGUAGCGAACAGGAUUAGAUACCCUGGUAGUCCACGCUGUAAACGGUGGGUACUAGGUGUGGGUUCCUUUUCACGGGAUCCGUGCCGUAGCUAACGCAUUAAGUACCCCGCCUGGGGAGUACGGCCGCAAGGCUAAAACUCAAAGGAAUUGACGG